GACGAACGCUGGCGGCGUGCUUAACACAUGCAAGUCGAACGGAAAGGCCCUGCUUUUGUGGGGUGCUCGAGUGGCGAACGGGUGAGUAACACGUGAGUAACCUGCCCUUGACUUUGGGAUAACUUCAGGAAACUGGGGCUAAUACCGGAUAGGAGCUCCUGCUGCAUGGUGGGGGUUGGAAAGUUUCGGCGGUUGGGGAUGGACUCGCGGCUUAUCAGCUUGUUGGGGGGGUAGUGGCUUACCAAGGCUUUGACGGGUAGCCGGCCUGAGAGGGUGACCGGCCACAUUGGGACUGAGAUACGGCCCAGCCUCCUACGGGAGGCAGCAGUGGGGAAUAUUGCACAAUGGGCGGAAGCCUGAUGCAGCAACGCCGCGUGCGGGAUGACGGCCUUCGGGUUGUAAACCGCUUUCGCAUGUGACGAAGCGUGAGUGACGGUAAUGGGUAAAGAAGCACCGGCUAACUACGUG
rnacentral:rRNA from 1 species